UCGUCCUGCCCUCUCUUCUCUCUUCUCCCUUCCUCUCUCCUCCUCUUUCUCUUCCCUCACUCUUCAACGACGAAAACAGCGAGUCCACAGACCCCUUUCGUGGUCGCAGUCCAUGCAUGGACAAUUCGGGAAUAGAAAUUAACGCUUGUACCUCCCCAUCACAGUUCAACGUUGAAAAGGGGGGUUUUCCUCUUUCUCUUUUUGAUUCUUUUGAUCUGAAGCCUUAAUGGAUUUUGUCCGUUUGCAAGCUCAAAUUCGCUCCUUUAUCAGUUCCUUUUCACUUUAGGGUACAGGUUUUUAAUGAGUUUUGUCUAUUCCUCUCCCUUCUGAUCGAAAAUUCGAACGUUUGAACCAUUAAAGUCCCGCCCAAAAUUUAGCCCAAAAACCCUAGUUGCGUCCUAUAUAUACUAGCAUUGGAGUUCGAGAAAGGGGGGUUUUGAAAAGACCUAUUUCAGUUCGAGUAAAAAAUCAACUUUAUAAAAAUUUCUAUCGAGUCUAGUCUGUCUUUCCGGAUCUUAAUUUCUUUUCCUGUUUUCGUUCUGUUUGAGUGAGUCGAGGCUUUAGAAACAAAAGUUCGAUUCUGUUCUGGACUAAAAUCGCACUCAAAAGGGUCCUAGUAUCGUCCUAGUUCGAGUGUAGAUCGGAGAUUCAAGGUCCCAUUUCGCUGCACCUGCAAAAGGUUUUGGACAAAUGCAUUUGGACUAACACGACUAAAUAGAUGUGGCUAUUCCAGUCGAGUGGUGACGAGUCAUCUUUUCGACUACCUGUUCCCGUAUUCGAAUCCUACGAGUCUCCUUUAUUUUUGUUUUAUUAAUAUUCACGACUUGGUUGAUUCGUCAAGUUAUUUCAUCUGAUGAUUAGCUAAGUGAAACAUUGGAAAAAGGAAGGAAAUAAAGGAUUUAGACAAUAAUAAUCACUUUUAUUGGGUAAUUAUAACAAUAAUAAUCACUUUUUUUGGGUUAGUUUUAAGAACAAGUUCAC